GCAAAAAGCUUGCAAGGGAGGAGUGAAAGCAGCACAAAGGAGAAACCACAAAGAAAGCAAAAACAGAUAUGGAGGGCUUUCUUCACCUUAGUUUUCAGCUUUCCUCCAAUAAUGAUUGCUGGAAUGGGUAAAGCAGGUCAAAUUACACCCAAGAGUGACAGCUCUCAGAGAAAGAGAGGACCAACAGCCUCACUGCGUUCUGGAUGACAUUAUUUUGGCCCACUCAGCCCUGAGCUGUCCCCCAGGGCGAGCCCCCUGGAUCAUCCAAGACCGGAGCUUUGACACCAAAUGACAGAUACACCCCCCUACCUCCCGCCAAGUUCCGGGACCUUAUCAGUGAAAAUUGCAUUCUUAUGGUAAGCAAAUGUGCUCCAAAGCAAUACUGCAGUUGCCAGUUUCAGGAAGCUGUCAGGGAAAGGAGGAAAGGUCGUGUACUGUGUGGGUUUCAGCAAGCUAAAUGUAGUAUGUACACUGUGUGGGUGUGUGUAAGUGGACAGACAUGCACCUAGCAUAAGAAUCUGGGGUUCAAGGGAUGAUAGCAAGGUUACUGUCAUCUUAGCUUCUCAAGGUCAGCGCUAUCAUGAGCAGAGGUAUUAUCUCCUCACACAGACAGCUAAUGUGCUGCAGCUUCAUCCUUGAACUGAAAAGCGGUCAAGAGACGGUCAAAUACUUUUCAUUUGCUUUGCUUUCUAUGACUGUGUACCUUUAUGUGGGUUUUUUUGGGGGGGGCAAUUUGGAAAAAUAAAUUGGUUGAAUGACCAUGGCACCACAAUACAAAUGAAAAACCAAGCAAGAUGCCCAAUAGGUUGAUCAGCUGGUCUGAAAUAAGCCCCCACUUCACCAAAGUCUCCAUCCUUUGCCGACUCUCAAGAA